rnacentral:rRNA from 1 species
CCUACGGGCGGCUGCAGUAGGGAAUCUUCCUCAAUGGGGGAAACCCUGAAGCAGCAACGCCGCGUGGAGGAUGAAGGUUUUAGGAUUGUAAACUUCUUUUGUUAGAGAAGAUUAUGACGGUAUCUAACGAAUAAGCAUCUGCCAACUCCGUGCCAGCAGCUGCGGUCAUACGGAGGGUGCAAGCGUUACUCGGAAUCACUGGGCGUAAAGAGUGCGUAGGCGGGGGAAUAAGUCAGAUGUGAAAUCCUGUAGCUUAACUGCAGAAUUGCAUUUGAAACUGUUACUUUGGAGUGUGGGAGAGGUAGGUGGAAUUCUUGGUGUAGGGGUAGAAUCCGUAGAGAUCAAGAGGAAUACUCGUUGCGAAGGCGACCUGCUGGAAUAUUACUGACGCUGAUGCACGAAAGCGUGGGGAGCAAACAGGAUUAGAUACCCCAGUAGUC